CCGACCAUAGCUCAGUUGGUAGAGCGGAGGACUGUAGAGUUGCAGAUAUCCUUAGGUCACUGGUUCGAAUCCGGUUGGUCGGA
rnacentral:tRNA from 2 species